rnacentral:lncRNA from 1 species
CAUCCUGUGUCCUGUGGCAGCAGUCCCGGCCACGGUAUCCUCACCACAGCCUGGCCACAGCUUGGCCUCGCCUGCAUCUCCUGCUGCCAGCCGCCUUGAUACCUGCCCAUUUUCCCCAUGCGGUUCUCCAGCCUUCCGACUGAUAAGUUCUGCACAUAUUUCCCCAUGUCCAUUGCCUGCACGAGUCAGCCAGGUCAGCUCUGUCGCUUCCACCAAGACCUCUCACUGCAGUGGCUGUGCUGAGCUUGCAGCUGACGUCUGCUCUACAGUGUCAGCACUUGGGAUUCUUCUUCUGUUGGGGGUCCCUGAAGGUG